GCCGGGCAUGGUGGCUUAUGCCUGUAAUCCCAGCACUUUGGGAGGCCGAGGCGGGUGGAUCACUUGAGGUCAGGAGUUCGAGACCAGCCUGGCCAACAUGGUGAAACCCUGCCUCUA
rnacentral:SRP_RNA from 1 species